CUGCUUCGCCGAGCCGCAGUCUGCCAGUCAUGAUGUGACGUCAGGCGACCGGUCGGCUCGGACGGAGGUCGAGAGCUACCUCCGCGAGCCAGGACCGCACUCAGCCACCUCACCACCAUCCUGGCGUACUGGGCGUCACCGACCACGAAAGCCCAGUUCCCGCGGCUGUGCCGCGUCGCAAGGCGUCUCCUGGCUGUGCCAGCGUCUAGCACACCGUCAGAGAGAGCCUUCUCUGUCGCCGGACGCGUGGUGGAGGACAGGAGGACGAGGCUGCUACCGUCAUCCGUGGAUGAUAUCCUCUUCCUCCAUGGUGUGCAGUGUGCACCGACGUGAGACGUGAGAGCCAGACCUGAGCCGCUGCUGGAAGCAGAGCAGAGUGCAGACCCAGUUUCAACGUUGUAGAGUAGGGGAGAGUGGGGUAAUUUGGCCGGUGGUGUAAAUUGGCCGCCCCCACCUGUACGAAAGCUGAUAAAAGUGAAUGAAAUAACUUUAGUCCCUAUUCAUUUGUCGUCGGCAGAACUAACUUGAGAACAAAUGUCAAAACUUUCCCUCUCUUAGUUUUGUUCAAAAUUAA